GGCUAUAAUGCAGUCGAGCGGACAGAAGGGAGCUUGCUCCCGGAUGUUAGCGGCGGACGGGUGAGUAACACGUGGGUAACCUGCCUGUAAGACUGGGAUAACUCCGGGAAACCGGAGCUAAUACCGGAUAGUUCCUUGAACCGCAUGGUUCAAGGAUGAAAGACGGUUUCGGCUGUCACUUACAGAUGGACCCGCGGCGCAUUAGCUAGUUGGUGAGGUAACGGCUCACCAAGGCGACGAUGCGUAGCCGACCUGAGAGGGUGAUCGGCCACACUGGGACUGAGACACGGCCCAGACUCCUACGGGAGGCAGCAGUAGGGAAUCUUCCGCAAUGGACGAAAGUCUGACGGAGCAACGCCGCGUGAGUGAUGAAGGUUUUCGGAUCGUAAAGCUCUGUUGUUAGGGAAGAACAAGUGCAAGAGUAACUGCUUGCACCUUGACGGUACCUAACCAGAAAGCCACGGCUAACUACGUGCCAGCAGCCGCGGUAAUACGUAGGUGGCAAGCGUUGUCCGGAAUUAUUGGGCGUAAAGGGCUCGCAGGCGGUUUCUUAAGUCUGAUGUGAAAGCCCCCGGCUCAACCGGGGAGGGUCAUUGGAAACUGGGAAACUUGAGUGCAGAAGAGGAGAGUGGAAUUCCACGUGUAGCGGUGAAAUGCGUAGAGAUGUGGAGGAACACCAGUGGCGAAGGCGACUCUCUGGUCUGUAACUGACGCUGAGGAGCGAAAGCGUGGGGAGCGAACAGGAUUAGUCCUUUGGUU
rnacentral:rRNA from 1 species